GAGAAAACCAAAAAGCACUUAUAGUGUAGCAUUUAAUAAAACAUGGGAUAAAAACAGAAAAUAAAACGGGCACUCAUAAUUGAAUUACACAAUAUUGCAAGAUUGUGGAAAAAUCACAUUACCCCUGACAACUGUCCUGAGCUCUUGAGAAAGUCCAGCGUUCGGACAAAACGCGUUGAUCCAACGCAAAGUGAACUUCUGAAUAACAUUUUAAGUAAAUGGUCUAGGAGUGAAUCAAGGGGUGAAUUUCUGGCUAAUUGCAGUGAAUCCAGGACACAUUUCACCCAAAAGACCUUUAUAUCCACUUUAACAAAGACUAUCUUCUAUAGAAGCGAAUUGGGAGAACUCCUGGACCUGCAGCUUAUAUUAUCCUGGGCAUAAGUCUCAUUGCUCAAUUCUCUGCCAUUUAGAAGUUACAUCGAUUUUGUUUGUGUUUAUUCAGCCCUAGCCACACCUCUCCUGGCUGUCACUCACUCAGUCUGCAUGAAAACAAAAUGGUUUAACUUUCAAUCAGAUAUAAGUUACUUUAAAAGUUUUUAUCUCCUUGUGACUAACUCCCCAGUCCUCGUGAGUUUGCCACGAGUUCCUGGAGGAGCCUGCUUGCCAGCCUCCUGCCCACAGACUAUGGACCCUGUAAAAUGUGAUGUAAAAAUCUCAGUUUGUGUAUUUGGACUAUAUGGUUCGGGAACCUAGCAGCCGCACGAACCGGAGACCACCCUGGAGCUUGUUAAGCCUAAUUGCUACUUUGUACACAAUAACCUGGCUUGUAUUCAGCUCAUUGGAAAAAUCUCAAAGCCAAGGAGGUGGUCAUAACAUACCCUGCUUACUAAUUCAUCGUGAUUAGGGGAAGCAUAGGGGAAGGCGACUGCACUGUAACAAGCCUGUGAAAUGCAAGAGCAAUUAUUUAAAAGCACAUUUUACUUAAAUAUAUGGUGGUUCAGCGUUGUUUUGGUUAAAUGAGACAAGGCUGCUAGUUAUAAUGUCCACCUUUUAUCUUACACUGUCAAAUAUUAGUAUUAAUACACAGAAAUGUGUUAUUGUGUUUAGAUCAUGUGAUGAUGAUGUAACAUGGCCGCCAGUUUGAAUUGUAUUGUACCUAUAUAAGGAGUGUUGGUCCAGCUUGCUGUAACACUUUGAAAAAGCCACAUUUGGAGAAAUGCGUUAGUUACUUUUUGCUUUAUAUUUUAUUGUUUUGUGUAGCUUAUUGUGUAUCAGAAUAAAGUUAAUCUAUUUAAGACACUCUGGACCCUUCUGCUUCUACCCACUACCUGUUGGACGUCACUUUUUCUUGGUGGGGAUAUACCAUCUAAGCUGUUUGGAUUGAGAAAAACAUAUUUUAAGCUCUUUCAUUUCAUUUGCACUAAAUAAUAUCACAGUAUUCACUAUACUUUUGAUUUCUGUUUUGUUGCAUAUUAUGCAUACCAAGAGGACUUCCACUCAUCAGCUAUCUGAGGAGUGGCCAGUGGAGGUAUCUCUAGGCUGUAAUGUAAACACUGCAUUUUCUUUGACAGACAGUGCUUACAGCAAAAAGCCUGAAGGUAAUGAUUCUACUCACCAGAACAAAUUCAAUACGCUGUAGUUGUUCUGGUGACUAUAGUGUCCAUUUAUUUUAAAAUACAAACCAAAGAGCUGACUUGGAGAACAUUUUCAAUUUUGUCAAUUUUGUCAAUUUUGUCUAAUAUUUGAAAUCCAUUUUGCAAC
rnacentral:lncRNA from 1 species